rnacentral:sRNA from 1 species
GGAGGUUGAGGGGAGAAGGGGGAGCAGUUCUUACGUGUAACCUGAUUCCCAAAAGGCCCAGGGCUGUGUAGACACCAGAUAUUGCAAGAAGUUUAAGGUUAAUGAAGGAAGAGAGGUGGGUAAAUAGAACAGCACCCCAGGCCUCAGCCACCACCAAUCAAAACAGGAGGCAGUGAAUUGCUGCAGCUGCCUUAGCUGGCAUUCGGGAGAGCCUUGGCUUCAAAAACACUUAACCAGUACUGAAGAGACAACUCAGUGACGAAGAGCACUGGCUGCUCUUCCAGGACCCGGGUUCGAUUCCCAGCAACCAUACGGCAACUGACAACUCCGACUCUGCAGGCACCUGGUACAAGUGGUGCACGUACGUACAUGCAGACAAAACACACAUAUACAUGGAAAUAAAUAAAUCUCUUUCAAAGAAAAAAGGACAGCCUAUAAACAAAUGAGCCAAAGUAACAGAAUUCUAGGCGGGAGGAGAAUGAAUUGAAUGUGGUGACAUCAGUGAUUAUCGCAGCAAGCACCCUGGAGAUAGAGGCCCAAGGAGUAGGAAUUUCAAGUCAACCUGGAAAUACAGGAGGCCUUGCCUCAAAAGGCAAACAUGAAGCCGAGCAUUGUGGCCUAUGCCUUUAAUCCAGCACUUGGAGGCAUAGGCAGGUGGAUCUGUGUUAGUUCAAAGCCAGUCCCGUCUACGUAGAGACUUAAGACAGCCAAGACUACACAGAGACCCUUAAUAUAAGGCCAUGGGCUAAGAGGGUAGUUGGGGUAAAGGGGAGAGGACUUGGCUAGCAUGCCUGAUACUCUGGGAUGGGUUCCCAGAAGGGCAGAGAAGGAAAGAAGGGAGGGAGAGAACAGGGAGGGGAGGAUGGAAGGAAGGCACGCUUGGACUCCAAGACCACACCAACUAGCCAGCAUUUUUUUUCUUAAUGAUAGCAUGCAAGGAAAGCCAUCAUCAUCUCUGUUCUGAUGAAGGUCCCUACAUCAGUGCCUGAAUAUCACUAAGCGGAUAAACUGGUACUCAGAAAGCACCAGGAAAAGGGAAAGGUGUUAGUGAUAUCAAGGAGGCCGAGUUUCCAUCUGCUCUAAUGUCAACAGUAAUUCAAUCCCAGUAGCGGUGCUAGUAGUAUGAUUUUUGCCACAGAGCCAAGCAGGGUGCCAGGACAGUUCCAAUUGCAAAUUGAUUACAAGUUCUGCCUGACCCUUCCCACCUCUCCCCACCCAAGGCUCCCGCCGAGCCCCAGCACACCCCUUCCAUGACGACAGCCCCGGAACUCUUCCAGCACUGAACCUUUGUCUUGUCUCAGCCUGCUGUGUGGCAGCAAAGGUAUCGAGUCAAAAGCUAUUAGCUCCCACGUGCUCUUGAGCUGGGUGCGCAGGUGGAGUAUACUCAGGCUUCUUGCUCAAGGCCAAGGGCCAUCUUUUACUUGGUUCUUCGCUGUCUUCUGACUUCUGAAGGUGACCAAACAGCUCUGAUCUAAAUCCUAUUAGCUUUGUUGCUGUCUAGUUACCUGGCUUGGGGUGAUACCUUUAACCCUCAGCUGUGUUCCUAGUCUAAAUUGAUGACAUUAUUAUAUCAUAUCACAUCAUAUCAUAUCAUAUCGAUAGAUAGAUAGAUAGAUAGAUAGAUAGAUAGAUAGAUAUUUUAUGAGACUGCUGGGAGACUGAAAUAAAAUGCUAUAUCUAAAACACUUAAAAACCAGUCUGAAUAUGGUGGAAUCCACCUAUUACUUCAAUAUAUGAGAGGCCGAGGCAGAGAGAAUGCCAGUUCGAGGCCAGCUUAGGUUACAACAAACACACACAGCCUUACCCAUAAAAAGAACUCCAUGAAGGUCGGACAUUUUCCCUUAAGUAUGUUUGCAGAGUUGUGGACAGUACAAAUAUAAAGACUAAGCCUGGCAUACUCGAGAGGCUGAAAGUCAGCAUCAUACUAGUGCCUUUGUUCCAGUUAGAUACUGUGACUAUGGUAUUGCUCCUUACAGCCAGAAAAGCAAAUCAGAUCAUCAAGGCUCCUACCAAAGGACUCAUGGGAUCUACAGCCGUAUUACCCCAAACCCCUCAUCUGCUCUGAUCUCCAAAGUUAAACACCCUCAGCCCUGGCUAGUAUUCUGGUGGCAGGAUUCACCUCGUGGCCUAUUAUGAGACAUAGAACUGGUACAUUUUAAAAAUAUACAAACACAGUCGUCCGCAGGACUCUACCAAGGAGAAUCUGAUUUGUGUGUUUGUUUGAUGGUUUUCUUCUUCUGAUAUUUAAGUCCCUGAAACAUCAAGGUUCACACUGUAGCUCAAGCUGGCCUGCGGCUAAGGCUGACUUUGAAUUCACGAUAAUCCUCCUGCUUCAGCUUCUCAUAUGCUUGGAUUAUACGCAUGAACCACACCUAGCUCCAAAGGCUUAUGUGUGUGUGUGUGUGUGUGUGUGUGUGUGUGUGUGUGUGUGUGUGUGCGUGCGCGCGCGCACAUUGGUGGAAAGCACUUGUAACUAUGGAUGUACCUCAGUAGCCUGGUUAUUCUUAUUCUAGAUUAUGUUCUGCCCCUCCUUUUAAAUCAAUAUGCUAACACAAGCAUAAGAUAUACCAUGGAAGUUAAGUCCCAGACUCUUAGUGACAUCACAAACUGGUAUUAGGAAAAAACGGGGGGAGGGGGAGGUUCAGCACAAUGCAGAACAUGAGAACGCUAUAUCUGCAAUCAACUAGAGGAAAAACAAAACAACAAGCCAUUACAUGCAAAGACUACAUGCCAUCUAAAAUAUAUCCAAGUAUAGCCAUUUGCUGGCUUCCUUUCAGCUUCUAAAGAACAGGGACCACCACAACACCAGCUUACAUGCCAAUGUGAAUGUGACGAACUUCACAAAGCCUUACCCCUCAAGGAAGAGCUAAUGGCUGUCAAAAGAGUAAGAAUCAGUUUUCUCCAUGGGUGAGUCCCUGAUAGCUUAUCCAAUCCCAAGUGGUCAGUUCUAAACACACACACACACACACACACACACACACACACACACACACGCAAUGUUAAAUGAACUAAGCAGCCUAUAUUUAUAUACACUGUGUUUAUGUGUGAUUUAAAAAGAAGUAAGGGAUUUGAGGGGGUUGGGAGUCACAUCAGGAGUUGCAGGGAAGAGAGGGGGGUAAAAAUGAUGCAUAGACCAUACUUAUUAUGAAAGUUUUAAGAGCGUGUGUGUGUGUGUGUGUGUGUGUGUGUGUGUGUGUGUGUGUACACGUGUAUAUAGUAGAGUCCAACAAAUAUUCAAGGUCCUCAGAAUCCCCAGGAAAAGGCUUGUCUGCCGUUAAUAUGAACAAAUUCAGGGCCACUUGCACAAAAUGGAAGCGAAGGUCACUGUGGUCCAAGAGAGUCAACAGCUGACAUGACUAAGGAUGGCAGCUACAUGGGGCAGGCAGGCAGGCAGACAGAAGGUUCCGGACAUGGCAGACAUAGGCCUCAGCAACCAGGAAGACUGCCUGCCAGCCUUCCAUGUUAAAAGAAGACAGGAAUUGGAUCCGUGGAGAUGGCAAGAACUCAGCAGACUUUCAGAGGGCAAAUAACACAAAUCAUCAGAAUCAGAAAAAAGAGAUCUUUCCAGUUCUGUGAACUGCUGUCACCGAAGCAGAUCAGGAUGAGUGGAAGAGAAUCAAUCAAAACAAAAAAAAAAAAAAUUAUCUCUUCUACUUUUCAAGAGAAACUGGUUUAUGCAAAACUCUGCACUUAAUAGGUACAGCAGCAAGAAGCAGCCACGCUUAACCAGGCAAACAACAAGGUAACCCCAGUCACUCCCUCACAGCGUGGAGUGUGGGUCCCUAACACCCAUAAUGCCCUAACCCAGCCUUAACGUUUCACCAAAUCCAUCAUGAACCUAGCUGAGUUUAAACAACCUUAAGGCACAUCCUUACCUCCAAGAUGUAACUAGCACACUUCCAAGCACCGGAGAGCAGGCCACCACGAGGUUUUUCUAGUCAUGGAGUCCGUGUGUAUUUCUGCUUUCCUGACAUCUUUGUUCCUUAUAAAUCUUUUAAGAAGUCCCACUUGGAGUUCCAAGGAUUGAAACACAAACGCUUUGCCACUGGCUAGAGCUUGAGAAGGACUAGCUAUGACCAUACGACUGUGCAAGUGAACAAGCCCAAACUUGUCACUGCCCAUAUGCAAAACAGGCCUGCAACAUCCUACCACAUGCAGUUAAACAGAGACCUGCAUCCUUAGCCCUCCCCAACACACAGACAGACACACACACACACAGACACACACACACACACACACACACACACACACACACACACACACACACUUCUUCAUGGCUUUCUCUGGGCCAAAUGACAUCAGUCCCUUAAAAACACAAGAGCAGAAAGAAAACAGAAACCUUACUUCUCCCUAGACUCUCUUAAGUGAUUUCUCUCCUUCCUAAGAUUCUAGAUUGUCCUGAAGAGCUCAAAAGAACAGAUUAUUGCACACCAGUAAACUCAUAGGAAAAUCCAUGAUAUGUCUCCACAUAGGCACAUGUAGCUUCAUGGCUGCGCUUCCUGGAAGUCUGUACAGCUCUCCCACACCACUUAUAGGUACAGCAGAAAAUAUUAGCCAAGAAAGGGCCAAUCUCGUUAAAGCAACAACCUACCCCAAAAGAAUUAGUAAUGAUGAAGAUGUGGGGGCCUUCAACAAACACAGGAAUGCAAUACAAAAGCACAGAAAGUUUCAUGCCACGGAGUUUUAGAUCACCUUCUUUCUGCCCCGAGGGGGUGUCUCAGAGGAGGGCUGGCCAGGGAUGGAAGGAGCAUCACUAGAUUCAGACUUCCAGUUUCAUAAAUGAGGCCUCCAAACCACAUCAGCGGCCCCAAAUCUGCGCAGAUUGCAGGGGGCGUCUCUUUUUCUUUUAGACAUGAGGAAACGGGCUUUUGAUCAAGUGCAUAAAUCCAGAAUUACCUCUAUGUAAAGACCAUUCUAUGUAAUCUCCUUUGCACCCACACUCCUCACCCACACCCAAACUCUCUGGCAAUCUCGAGUCUAGGGAUGAGGAAAAGUUCAAGGUUAACAUACGCUCGUGGGAAUG